GUCGAACGCUGGCGGCGUGCUUAACACAUGCAAGUCGAGCGGAAAGGCCCUUCGGGGUCCUCGAGCGGCGAACGGGUGAGUAACACGUGAGUAACCUGCUCCAGACUUUUGGAUAACACCCGGAAACGGGGGCUAAUACUGGAUACGACACAGCUUCGCAUGGGGUCUGUGUGGAUAGUUUUUCGGUCUGGGAUGGGCUCGCGGCCUAUCUGCUUGUUGGUGGGGUGAUGGCCUACCAAGGCGCCGACGGGUAGCCGGCCUGAGAGGGCGACCGGGCACACGGGGACUGAGAGAGGGCCCAGACGGCUACGGGAGGCAGCGGUGGGGAAUAUGGCACAAUGGGCGGAAGCCUGAUGCAGAGACGCCGCGAGAGUGAUGACGGCCUUCGUGUUGGAAACCUCUUUCAGCAGGGACGAAGCGUAAGUGACGGUACCUGCAGAAGAAGCGCCGGCCAACUACGUG
rnacentral:rRNA from 1 species